CGGGGUCGAAUGGAGUAGCGAAAGUGAAACGGACCCACGCGAAAGGAGAGACGCUUCCCGAGGCGAAAGCCCAAAACUGUACCUCUGAUGCCCGGCGGACGGACGCUGCUUGCAUGGCGGGUGAUGUGCCUUACCCCGUUUCAUGUGCGCCGGCAAAGCAAAUUAGACGGCACCCAACAAGACAUUUGUACGGAGGGCGAACAAAACCUUUAUGACCA
rnacentral:ncRNA from 1 species